GUCUAAUCCCAACAAUCUUAUUUUAAUCCACUACUAAUAUUGAGUAAUUCUAUAACACUAUAGAAAUUUUUAUGCUAAAACUAGUAACAAGAAGAUAACCUUCUCUUAAAUGUAAGUGUAAAUCAGAAAGGAUCUACCACUGAUAAUUAUCAUCCUUGAACCCAAAAUAGGAACCAACCAAGAAAACUCUAUUAAUACCAAUGUUAAACUUACACAAGAACAUUUAAAGAAAGAUUUAAAGAAAAAGAAGGAAUUCGGCAAACCUUAACCUCGCCUGUUUACCAAAAACAUCGCCUCUUGGUAUCUUAUAAGAGGUCCAGCCUGCCCAGUGAAUAUAUUCAACGGCCGCGGUAUCCUAACCGUGCAAAGGUAGCGUAAUCACUUGUCCUCCAAAUAAGGACUUGAAUGAACGGCUUCACGAAGGUUAAACUGUCUCCUUUUUCUAAUCAGUUAACCUAAUCUCCCCGUGAAGAAGCGGGGAUACUACUAUAAGACGAGAAGACCCUAUGGAGCUUAAAACUAUACAGCAACUGCUUUACAGAUAAACAUUUCAGAAUAUUCUCCCUAAAUAAGCAACAUGACUGUUAAUUUUUGGUUGGGGUGACCACGGAGUAUAAUAUAACCUCCAUGCUGAAAGAAUUUUAUUCUAAGCCAAGAAUCACUAUCCUAAGCAUCAGUAUACUGGCAUUAAUUGACCCAAUAUAAUUGAACAACGAACCAAGUUACCCUAGGGAUAACAGCGCAAUCCACUUCAAGAGCUCCUAUCGACAAGCGGGUUUACGACCUCGAUGUUGGAUCAGGGUUUCCCAG
rnacentral:rRNA from 1 species